GGUUGACCUCGGAUCAGGUAGGAAUACCCGCUGAACUUA
rnacentral:rRNA from 3 species